rnacentral:lncRNA from 1 species
AAGCCAUUUAUUUAUACAUUGGAUAUGCAAGAGUCCACCUUGUCAUGGACUCUUGGUUUUUCACGCGUUCUCCCUUUCCACAUGCUAUAUUUUGGCAUCCAAAUUUUUCUAAGUAGAGGAAGAGUCCUUCUACUUAUUAAUCACUUUCUAUUUCAUGCCUUAAUGCUUUGGAUUACAUGUAAAAAAAUUAAUAUGUGCGUGUAAGGAAGAUGGGACGCCAAGAGUUGGUGUCCCUUGGUGUCUUGUGCGGCACCCCUUCAUCCCUUAUAUAAGGGGUGCCCCAUAUGGCAUAAAAUUUAUCCAAAAAUUAUUUUGGAUGUGGGAUU